AUUGAACGCUGGCGGAAUGCUUUACACAUGCAAGUCGAACGGCAGCACGGACUUCGGUCUGGUGGCGAGUGGCGAACGGGCGAGUAAUGUAUCGGAACGUGCCCAGUCGUGGGGGAUAACGUAGUGAAAAUUACGCUAAUACCGCAUACGAUCUAUGGAUGACAGGGGGGGAUCUCAAAACUUCGCGCGACUGGCGCGGCCGAUAUCGGAUUAGGUAGUUGGUGGGGUAAAGGCCCACCAAGCCAACGAUCUGUAGCUGGUCUGAGAGGACGACCAGCCACACUGGAACUGAGACACGGUCCAGACUCCUACGGGAGGCAGCAGUGGGGAAUUUUGGACAAUGAGCGAAAGCCUGAUCCAGCCAUUCCGCGUGCAGGAUGAAGGCCCUCGGGUUGUAAACUGCUUUUGUACAGAACGAAAAGGUUUCUACUAAUACUAGGAGCUCAUGACGGUACUGUAAGAAUAAGCACCGGCUAACUACGUGCCAGCAGCCGCGGUAA
rnacentral:rRNA from 1 species